rnacentral:rRNA from 1 species
AUGGCUUCAGGAUUAUGUGAAUUGAUGUGGUUGGGGAUACUAUUAUCUGAACUUAGGCUGUUUGAUGGAGGACCACUGCAACUCUUUUGUGAUAACCAGGCUGCAAUCAAGUUAAUACACAAUCCAGUCCAGCAUGAUAGAACUAAACACAUCGAAAUUGAUAGACAUUUCAUAAAAGAAAAGUUAGACGAGGGACUUCUCCAAGUUGGCUUUGUUAGAUCUGAAAAUCAACUUGCAGAUGUAUUAACAAAGGGUGUUAGUGUUGUAUCUUUUGAAAAAUUAUGUAGCAAGAUGGGGCUCAUAAAUAUAUUUGCCCCAUCUUGA